UACGAAGGGUGCAAGCGUUACUCGGAAUUACUGGGCGUAAAGCGUUCGUAGGCGGUUUGUUAAGUCUGAUGUGAAAGCCCUGGGCUCAACCUGGGAAUUGCAUUGGAUACUGGCAGGCUAGAGUGCGGUAGAGGAUGGCGGAAUUCCCGGUGUAGCAGUGAAAUGCGUAGAGAUCGGGAGGAACAUCUGUGGCGAAGGCGGCCAUCUGGACCAGCACUGACACUGAGGCACGAAAGCGUGGGGAGCAAACAGG
rnacentral:rRNA from 1 species